rnacentral:misc_RNA from 1 species
GAUGAAGAACGUAGCAAAAUGCGAUACUUGGUGUGAAUUGCAGAAUCCCGUGAACCAUCGAGUUUUUGAACGCAAGUUGCGCCCGAAGCCUUUUGGCCGAGGGCACGUCUGCCUGGGCGUCACGCAUCGCGUCGCCCCCCACAAUUCUCCGUAAAGGGAACGUGUGUUUUGGGGGCGGAUAUUGGUCUCCCGUGCUCAUGGCGUGGUUGGCCGAAAUAGGAGUCCUUUCGAUGGACGCACGAACUAGUGGUGGUCGUAAAAACCCUCGUCUUUUGUUUCGUGCUGUUGCUCGCAAGGUAAACUCUUUAAAAACCCCAAUGUGUCGUCUCUUGACGACGCUUCGACUGCGACCCCAGGUCAGGCGGGACUACCCGCUGAGUUUAAGCAUAUCAAUAAGCGGAGGA